UCUCACCCGAACCCCCUCUCCUCCCGAUCCCUUCCUCCUCCUCUCCUCUGCGCGGCGCCAACCGAUCGCCUCCCUUAAACCGAUGACGCUUCCUCUUCUCCCCUCGCGCACAAAACUACCGGCGGAAGCUUCGAGUCCUUCCCCUUUCCUCUUCCCCUUCUUCCGUGCCCUAGAUCUAUCUCUCGCCUCCGCACCUCUGCACGGGACAAUCUCCGACCGAGGGCAGAGAGGCGUGCCCUAGCCCCGAACCACGACCGACCCAUUUCUCGUCUUUCCAAUCAGAGGCACCACCUUUGCAAGAGGCGAUCUUCAGCCAAAAGGGGAGGGUCCUAGCCCUGGUUUGGUUGGAGUUGAUCAUGAUCUGCUACUUCCUCCUCCCGUGCGCUGGUGGUGAGUUGCAGGACCCUAGCAACAGUGGCCCUUCUACUGGAUUCUAGCCAUUUCAGUAGUUCAGUGAACCCAAAGGUGGUGAAGGUUGCUGGGGCCAGGUCUGCGAUUCUUGGAGAGGAAGCCAAAGUGCGUGUUGUGGAGGAUAUUUGAUUAGCUUUUCAACAACCACAUUAGCUGCAGUCGACAAGUUCCGACAGUGAGUUCUUCAAGAUUGGAUCAGCUGCUGAAGUAUUAGUUUCAGGAUUCGAAUUCGGGACAAGCACUUCGACAUAGAGGUUGAUUAGCUCGAUCUACAUUGGAGG